GAAUAUAUAUUCAGAUAUUAAUGCUUGCUUUCCCAUAUAGAUGGAAUCUCAAGUUUGGCUAUUCUGUUACAUUC
rfam:Brassica rapa chromosome A8, whole genome shotgun sequence.